rnacentral:lncRNA from 1 species
ACCAACUUCAAGAAUUCCUUCUUGAGCCAACCUGUUUAUCCUGUUCUUAUUGAUAUAACCUAGCCUACAGUGCCAAAGGUAGACUUCUGACAUAUUAUCCAUUCUAGGACAUUUAUCGGAGGUUUGAACCACAUUAACAGGCUGUGAUAGUAAGUAAAUUUUAUUAUUUAGUUAUCCAACAAAUAUUGUAACACCAUUCAAAAU